UUAGAAGCAGCCAUCAUUUAAAGAAAGCGUAAUAGCUCACUGGUCGAGUCGGCCUGCGCGGAAGAUGUAACGGGGCUAAACCAUGCACCGAAGCUGCGGCAGCGACACUGUGUGUUGUUGGGUAGGGGAGCGUUCUGUAAGCCUGUGAAGGUGUGUCGUGAGGCAUGCUGGAGGUAUCAGAAGUGCGAAUGCUGACAUAAGUAACGAUAAAGCGGGUGAAAAGCCCGCUCGCCGGAAGACCAAGGGUUCCUGUCCAACGUUAAUCGGGGCA
rnacentral:rRNA from 1 species